rnacentral:rRNA from 1 species
ACGRGAAAUUGCCUUAGUAGCGGCGAGUGAAGCGGCAAAAGCUCAAAUUUGAAAUCUGGUACUUUCAGUGCCCGAGUUGUAAUUUGAAGAAGGUAUCUUUGGGUCUGGCGCUUGUCUAUGUUUCUUGGAACAGAACGUCACASAGGGUGAGAAUCCCGUGCGAUGAGAUGAUCCAGGCCUAUGUAAAGWUCCUUCGACGAGUCGAGUUGUUUGGGAAUGCAGCUCUWAGUGGGUGGUAAAUUCCAUCUWAAGCUAAAUAUUGGCGAGAGACCGAUAGCGAACAAGUACAGUGAUGGAAAGAUGAAAAGAACUUUGAAAAGAGAGUGAAAAAGUACGUGAAAUUGUUGAAAGGGAASGGCUUGAGAUCWKACUUGGUAUUUUGUAUGUUACUUCUUCGGGGGUGGCCUCUACAGUUUAUCGGGCCAGCMUCAGUUUGGACGGUAGGACAAUUGCCGUGGAAUGUGGCACGGCCUCRGUUGUGUGUYACAGCCACUGUCGAUACUGCCAGUCUAGACUGAGGACUGCSGUUUAUACCUAGGAUGUUGGCAUAAUGAUCUUAAUUUCCCCGUCUUGAARMAMKGACACCAUA